rnacentral:rRNA from 1 species
AAUAGAUACCCGGGUAGUCCACGCCGUAAACGAUGAGUGCUAAGUGUUAGAGGGUUUCCGCCCUUUAGUGCUGCAGCUAACGCAUUAAGCACUCCGCCUGGGGAGUACGGUCGCAAGACUGAAACUCAAAGGAAUUGACGGGGGCCCGCACAAGCGGUGGAGCAUGUGGUUUAAUUCGAAGCAACGCGAAGAACCUUACCAGGUCUUGACAUCCUCUGACAACUCUAGAGAUAGGGCGUUCCCCUUCGGGGGACAGAGUGACAGGUGGUGCAUGGUUGUCGUCAGCUCGUGUCGUGAGAUGUUGGGUUAAGUCCCGCAACGAGCGCAACCCUUGAUCUUAGUUGCCAGCAUUUAGUUGGGCACUCUAAGGUGACUGCCGGUGACAAACCGGAGGAAGGUGGGGAUGACGUCAAAUCAUCAUGCCCCUUAUGACCUGGGCUACACACGUGCUACAAUGGAUGGUACAAAGGGCUGCAAGACCGCGAGGUCAAGCCAAUCCCAUAAAACCAUUCCCAGUUCGGAUUGUAGGCUGCUAAC